ACUGACCAUACUACUUCUGAGUGUCUAAGUAUAUAUAACUACUCAAUGAAACUGCGAAUGGCUCAUUAUAACUGUUAUCCUUUAUUUGAUACAUUUGAAUGGAUUUUGUUGAAACACUAGAGCUAAUACGUGCUAUGACCGAAAGGUUGGAUUUAUUAUAUAUACCGAGUAGGUGAAUCAUAAUAACUUCGCAAAUCGCAGUAAUACUGCGAUAAAUCAUUCAAGUUUCUGCCCUAUCAUGCUCUCGAUGGACUGUAUUGGACUAUGAUGGCUCUCAUGUGUAACGGGGAAUUAGGGUUCGAUUCCGGAGACUGAGCCUGAUAAACGGCUACUACAUCUAAGGAAGGCACCGCGCGCACUAAUUACACCCUCCUGAAUCAGGGAAGUGGGGACUAGAUAUAACGUCUUCAUCAGAAGACCUGAUUGUAGUGAGGGUUUUCAAAACCGAACUUCUAGUACAAUUGGAGGGCAAGUCUGGUGCCCCCAGCCGCGGUAAUUCC
rnacentral:rRNA from 1 species